rnacentral:lncRNA from 1 species
AUACGUGUGACGCGUGUUUAUUUCUUCACUGCAUAGCAAGCAGCCGGCUGUCUAUUUUUUGCAAUGCUAUGUUUCCCACAACAGCAGCACUACGAAAGUAGGACUGGCAAAAUCACAUAUUGCCACCGUCACGAUGUCAUCAGGUGUAGUGGGACGUCGUCGUUGCACGAGAAUUCGUUGCGUAUUUCUUAGAAGAAGAGAGAUCAAUGUAUGUCGACCGACUGAUAUAUGACUUUAUGACUAUCUCAGCGUCUGUCAGCGGGCGUCGUUUUCAUCAUCCAGACAUGGCACUUUCUACCCCUUGGAGAAGUCGUGUAGAAACGAAUGACAUAUGAUCCACACAGCCAACUGACGAUGCCAUCUAGAGGAAAUUCGGAUGAGUUAUGCUUGCCUUCUUCUUUUCAUCGGCGUCGGUUCCGACAUCAUCGGCUCGGUGUUACUUCCACUGCAAAAGGAACAAACUCGGCAUCAAGCAGCUGGCCCAGUCGGCCUGAAACGGCAACCAAAAGUUCAUUUACCUCAGUGGACUGUGAUCUUGGGGCCACCAACUGGUGCACUGUCAAACACAAAACAGCAUGAACUCAUAAACAUUACAACAUCUUAGGG